GCCCGCGUGGCGCAGCCGGUAGCGCCCUCUUCUGGUAAUCCACCGGCGGGGGUUCGAACCCCCACCACCCCA